rnacentral:piRNA from 1 species
UAGACAGAAAGGAAAUGAUCCUGAUGAUA